AGUGAACGCUGGCGGUAGGCCUAACACAUGCAAGUCGAACGGCAGCACAGAGGAGCUUGCUCCUUGGGUGGCGAGUGGCGGACGGGUGAGGAAUACAUCGGAAUCUACUCUGUCGUGGGGGAUAACGUAGGGAAACUUACGCUAAUACCGCAUACGACCUACGGGUGAAAGCAGGGGACCUUCGGGCCUUGCGCGAUUGAAUGAGCCGAUGUCGGAUUAGCUAGUUGGCGGGUAAAGGCCCACCAAGGCGACGAUCCGUAGCUGGUCGUGACGAGGAUGAUCAGCCACACUGGAACUGAGACACGGUCCAGACUCCUACGGGAGGCAGCAGUGGGGAAUAUUGGACAAUGGGCGCAAG
rnacentral:rRNA from 1 species